UAAUUCUGACGUCCAAAUCCGAAUCUGUAUAGUUGUAGAGUUGUAGUUCUGUAAGAAAAAAUUAUUGCAGAUGUAGUUUAACGUGUAAAAUACAUUUGUGAGUUAGAUUAUUUUUUUUUUGUUUUUUCUUUUUUUGACUAUGUAAAUUAUCCAAUAUCCACUGUAAAAUGGAAAAACGUGGUUUGGUUUCGCUUUUGCCUUAAUUUUUCUUUAACUAAUUUUUGC
rnacentral:lncRNA from 1 species